rnacentral:rRNA from 1 species
CCUACGGGAGGCAGCAGUGGGGAAUAUUGGACAAUGGGGGAAACCCUUAUCCAGCGACGCCGCGUGAGGGAAGAAGGUUUUCGGAUUGUAAACCUCUGUCAGCGGGGACGAGAAUGACGGUACCCACGGAGGAAGCCACGGCUAACGACGUGCCAGCAGCCGCGGUAAUACGUAGGGGGCAAGCGUUGUCCGGAAUUACUGGGUGUAAAGGGAGCGUAGGCGGGAUUUCAAGUCAGAAGUGAAAAUUCUGGGCUCCACUCAGAACCUGCUUUUGAAACUGAUAUUCUUGAGUGAAGUAGAGGCAAGCGGCAUUCCUAGUGUAGCGGUGCACUGCGUAGAUAUUAGGAGGCACACCAGUGGCGCAGGCGGCUUGCUGGGCUUUUACUGCCGCUGAGGCUCGACCGCGUGGGGAGCAAACAGGAUUAGAUACCCGUGUAGUC